GCGAAAGCGAGUCUUAAUAGGGCGUCGAGUUCGUGGGAUCAGACCCGAAACCGAGUGAUCUAGGCAUGACCAGGAUGAAGGUACGGUAACACGUACUGGAGGUCCGAACCCACACCUGUUGAAAAAGGUCGGGAUGAGUUGUGCCUAGGGGUGAAAGGCCAAUCAAACUCGGAAAUAGCUGGUUCUCCGCGAAAUCUAUUUAGGUAGAGCGUCGACCGAAUACCCUCGGGGGUAGAGCACUGGAUGGGCUAGGGGGUCUCACCGACUUACCAAACCUAACCAAACUCCGAAUACCCAAGAGUACUAUCCGGGAGACAGACGGUGGGUGCUAACGUCCAUCGUCAAAAGGGAAACAACCCUAACCUACAGCUAAGGUCCCCAAGUCAUAGUUAAGUGGGAAAGCAUGUGGGAUUGCUUAGACAACCAGGAGGUUGGCUUAGAAGCAGCCAUCCUUUAAAGAAAGCGUAAUAGCUCACUAGUCGAGU
rnacentral:rRNA from 1 species